GAGUUUGAUCAUGGNUCAGAACGAACGCUGGCGGCAGGCUUAACACAUGCAAGUCGAGCGCACAGUUUACUGUGAGCGGCAGACGGGUGAGUAACGCGUGGGAAUCUACCUUGAGCUACGGGAUAACAGAGAGAAAUUUCUGCUAAUACCGUAUGUGGCCUUUGGGCGAAAGAUUUAUCGGCUUAAGAUGAGCCCGCGUUGGAUUAGCUGGUUGGUGGGGUAAAGGCCUACCAAGGCGACGAUCCAUAGCUGGUCUGAGAGGAUGAUCAGCCACACUGGGACUGAGACACGGCCCAGACUCCUACGGGAGGCAGCAGUGGGGAAUAUUGGACAAUGGGCGCAAGCCUGAUCCAGCCAUGCCGCGUGAGUGAAGAAGGCCUUAGGGUUGUAAAGCUCUUUCACCAGUGAAGAUAAUGACGGUAGCCGGAGAAGAAGCCCCGACUAACUUCGNGCCAGCAGCCGCGGUAAUACGAAGGGGGCUAGCGUUGUUCGGAUUUACUGGGCGUAAAGCGCGCGUANNCGGAUAGAUAA
rnacentral:rRNA from 2 species